UACGAAGGGGGCUAGCGUUGCUCGGAAUUACUGGGCGUAAAGCGCACGUAGGCGGCUUUCUAAGUCGGGGGUGAAAUCCUGGAGCUCAACUCCAGAACUGCCUUCGAUACUGGAGAGCUCGAGUCCGAUAGAGGUGGGUGGAAUUCCUAGUGUAGAGGUGAAAUUCGUAGAUAUUAGGAAGAACACCGGUGGCGAAGGCGGCCCACUGGAUCGGUACUGACGCUGAGGUGCGAAAGCGUGGGGAGCAAACAGG
rnacentral:rRNA from 1 species